AGCUGGGUCUUUCCUUACCUGGGAGCGCUGUGGUUCCAGGGCCUCGGUCAGGUGGGAAGCCCUAAAGCAGCUCUCCAGCAAAGACGCCAUCUGUCCCCCUCUGCCAUGCUAAAUAAAUUGGCUUCUUGGCUGGGGCACACCCAAGUUCCCCACUUUUCCCAGCAUCUACUCACCAUUUCUACUGCCCUCCGACCUUGAGGACCUUAAUGACUCCCAAAGGCAAGAGGAAUUGAACAACAGGGCAAGCCAAGCUAUUGGAUUCCAGAAGCCCUCCCCAGUUACUCAUGGAGAAACACUACUGCCUCCCAUGGAGUCUCUUGACUUUGUGGGGCUACUCAAUUUACAUAUUGUUGCAAGAGGAUCAUUAUCACAAGAUCACAUGUUACACAACCCCAAUGUCCAGUGAAGAAUCAUCAUCAGGAUCCGACGUGUCUAGUGCUUCUUCUGUACCUCUUCAGAGCCUGGCUUGGUGUGGGCACCUGCCAACCAAACAUUCAAGCAUUCAAGAGGCUGGGUGGAGGGUGACGCUGACGAUGUUGCUCAUGUGUUCAAGGUCAGACUGAGCUAUAUAAUGGGGUUCUGUCUCAACAAAACAGAAGAAAAUGAAGAUGAUAGAAGAAGAGAAAGGGGAACAGGAGGAAGUGGAGGGAAAAGAAGAGUAGGAAGAGGAAGAGAAAAUAGAAUGAGGAAGAGGAAGAGAAAGUGAUACAGACUUUGUCUAACUCAAGACCUAUGGAAUUAUCAAGCUACAUGUUUAAUGGGAUCUCCAAGUGAUAUCUAUGCCCA